rnacentral:rRNA from 1 species
GUGGGGAAUUUUGGACAAUGGGGGGAACCCUGAUCCAGCCAUGCCGCGUGGAGGAAGACUGCCCUCUGGGUUGUAAACUCCUUUUAUAUGGGAAGAACCGUCCUCAUUAAUGAGUGACCUGACGGUACCAUAGGAAUAAGCACCGGCUAACUCCGUGCCAGCAGCCGCGGUAAUACGGAGGGUGCAAGCGUUAUCCGGAUUCACUGGGUUUAAAGGGUGCGUAGGCGGAUAAAUAAGUCAGUGGUGAAAUCAACGGGCUCAACCUGUUAACUGCCAUUGAUACUGUGUAUCUUGAAUAUGAGAGAGGUAGGCGGAAUGUUGCAUGUAGCGGUGAAAUGCUUAGAUAUGCUACGGAACACCGAUUGCGAAGGCAGCUUACUAUUUCGUAAUUGACGCUGAGGCACGAAAGCGUGGGUAGCGAACAGGAUUAGAUACCCUAGUAGUCC